AAGCAUUUGAUGAAAAAUUCGGAUUCCCCUUCAAGCCAGUUUGGGUGAUGCAUUACCGAGUUUAACCUUUCAAAUUGUC